UACGUAGGGUGCGAGCGUUGUCCGGAUUUAUUGGGCGUAAAGAGCUCGUAGGCGGCUUGUUGCGUCGGCUGUGAAAACCCGCGGCUUAACCGCGGGCUUGCAGUUGAUACGGGCAGGCUAGAGUUCGGUAGGGGAGACUGGAAUUCCUGGUGUAGCGGUGAAAUGCGCAGAUAUCAGGAGGAACACCGGUGGCGAAGGCGGGUCUCUGGGCCGAUACUGACGCUGAGGAGCGAAAGCGUGGGGAGCGAACAGG
rnacentral:rRNA from 1 species